ACUGAGUUUACGCUCUAUAACCCUUUGUGAACAUACCUAUAACUGUUGCUUCGGCGGGUAGGGUCUCCGUGACCCUCCCGGCCUCCCGCCCCCGGGCGGGUCGGCGCCCGCCGGAGGAUAACCAAACUCUGAAUUAACGACGUUUCUUCUGAGUGGUACAAGCAAAUAAUCA
rnacentral:misc_RNA from 1 species